UCUCCGUAGGUGAACCUGCGGAGGGAUCAUUACAGAGUUCAUGCCCUUCCGGGUCUCUCUCCCACCUUGUGUUAUCGUCACCUUUGUUGCUUUUGUGGGCCGCCCAGGCCUUGGCCCGUCUACCGGCUCGCGCGGGUACGCCGCCGCUAAAGGACCCUCAACUCUUGCAUAUAAAUGUCUCCGUAGUCCUAUGUAACAGUUAAAACUUCCAACAACGGAUCUCUUGGUUCUG
rnacentral:misc_RNA from 1 species